AGGGGUGCUAUCUGUGAUUGA
rnacentral:ncRNA from 6 species